GGGUUGUGAGGUUAAGCGACUAAGCGUACACGGUGGAUGCCCUGGCAGUCAGAGGCGAUGAAGGGCGUGCUAAUCUGCGAUAAGCGCCGGUAAGGUGAUAUGAACCGUUAUAACCGGCGAUACCCGAAUGGGGAAACCCAGUGUGAUUCGUCACACUAUCAUUAACUGAAUCCAUAGGUUAAUGAGGCGAACCGGGGGAACUGAAACAUCUAAGUACCCCGAGGAAAAGAAAUCAACCGAGAUUCCCCCAGUAGCGGCGAGCGAACGGGGAGGAGCCCAGAGCCUGAAUCAGCAUGUGUGUUAGUGGAAGCGUCUGGAAAGGCGCGCGAUACAGGGUGACAGCCCCGUACACAAAAGCGCAUGUGCUGUGAGCUCGAUGAGUAGGGCGGGACACGUGGUAUCCUGUCUGAAUAUGGGGGGACCAUCCUCCAAGGCUAAAUACUCCUGACUGACCGAUAGUGAACCAGUACCGUGAGGGAAAGGCGAAAAGAACCCCGGCGAGGGGAGUGAAAAAGAACCUGAAACCGUGUACGUACAAGCAGUGGGAGCNNGUGACUGCGUACCUUUUGUAUAAUGGGUCAGCGACUUAUAUUCUGUAGCAAGGUUAACCGAAUAGGGGAGCCGGAGGGAAACCGAGUCUUAAUUGGGCGUUAAGUUGCAGGGUAUAGACCCGAAACCCGGUGAUCUAGCCAUGGGCAGGUUGAAGGUUGGGUAACACUAACUGGAGGACCGAACCGACUAAUGUUGAAAAAUUAGCGGAUGACCUGUGGCUGGGGGUGAAAGGCCAAUCAAACCGGGAGAUAGCUGGUUCUCCCCGAAAGCUAUUUAGGUAGCGCCUCGUGAAUUCAUCUCCGGGGGUAGAGCACUGUUUCGGCUAGGGGGCCAUCCCGGCUUACCAACCCGAUGCAAACUGCGAAUACCGGAGAAUGUUAUCACGGGAGACACACGGCGGGUGCUAACGUCCGUCGUGAAGAGGGAAACAACCCAGACCGCCAGCUAAGGUCCCAAAGUCAUGGUUAAGUGGGAAACGAUGUGGGAAGGCCCAGACAGCCAGGAUGUUGGCUUAGAAGCAGCCAUCAUUUAAAGAAAGCGUAAUAGCUCACUGGUCGAGUCGGCCUGCGCGGAAGAUGUAACGGGGCUAAACCAUGCACCGAAGCUGCGGCAGCGANNGUUGGGUAGGGGAGCGUUCUGUAAGCCUGUGAAGGUGGCCUGUGAGGGUUGCUGGAGGUAUCAGAAGUGCGAAUGCUGACAUAAGUAACGAUAAAGCGGGUGAAAAGCCCGCUCGCCGGAAGACCAAGGGUUCCUGUCCAACGUUAAUCGGGGCAGGGUGAGUCGACCCCUAAGGCGAGGCCGAAAGGCGUAGUCGAUGGGAAACGGGUUAAUAUUCCCGUACUUGGUGUUACUGCGAAGGGGGGACGGAGAAGGCUAUGUUGGCCGGGCGACGGUUGUCCCGGUUUAAGCGUGUAGGUGUGUGUUCCAGGUAAAUCCGGUUCACUUUAACACUGAGGCGUGAUGACGAGGCACUACGGUGCUGAAGUAACAAAUGCCCUGCUUCCAGGAAAAGCCUCUAAGCAUCAGGUAACAUCAAAUCGUACCCCAAACCGACACAGGUGGUCAGGUAGAGAAUACCAAGGCGCUUGAGAGAACUCGGGUGAAGGAACUAGGCAAAAUGGUGCCGUAACUUCGGGAGAAGGCACGCUGACACGUAGGUGAAGUGAUUUACUCAUGGAGCUGAAGUCAGUCGAAGAUACCAGCUGGCUGCAACUGUUUAUUAAAAACACAGCACUGUGCAAACACGAAAGUGGACGUAUACGGUGUGACGCCUGCCCGGUGCCGGAAGGUUAAUUGAUGGGGUCAGCGCAAGCGAAGCUCCUGAUCGAAGCCCCGGUAAACGGCGGCCGUAACUAUAACGGUCCUAAGGUAGCGAAAUUCCUUGUCGGGUAAGUUCCGACCUGCACGAAUGGCGUAAUGAUGGCCAGGCUGUCUCCACCCGAGACUCAGUGAAAUUGAACUCGCUGUGAAGAUGCAGUGUACCCGCGGCAAGACGGAAAGACCCCGUGAACCUUUACUAUAGCUUGACACUGAACAUUGAGCCUUGAUGUGUAGGAUAGGUGGGAGGCUUUGAAGCGUGGACGCCAGUCUGCGUGGAGCCGACCUUGAAAUACCACCCUUUAAUGUUUGAUGUUCUAACGUGGACCCGUGAUCCGGGUUGCGGACAGUGUCUGGUGGGUAGUUUGACUGGGGCGGUCUCCUCCUAAAGAGUAACGGAGGAGCACGAAGGUUGGCUAAUCCUGGUCGGACAUCAGGAGGUUAGUGCAAUGGCAUAAGCCAGCUUGACUGCGAGCGUGACGGCGCGAGCAGGUGCGAAAGCAGGUCAUAGUGAUCCGGUGGUUCUGAAUGGAAGGGCCAUCGCUCAACGGAUAAAAGGUACUCCGGGGAUAACAGGCUGAUACCGCCCAAGAGUUCAUAUCGACGGCGGUGUUUGGCACCUCGAUGUCGGCUCAUCACAUCCUGGGGCUGAAGUAGGUCCCAAGGGUAUGGCUGUUCGCCAUUUAAAGUGGUACGCGAGCUGGGUUUAGAACGUCGUGAGACAGUUCGGUCCCUAUCUGCCGUGGGCGCUGGAGAACUGAGGGGGGCUGCUCCUAGUACGAGAGGACCGGAGUGGACGCAUCACUGGUGUUCGGGUUGUCAUGCCAAUGGCACUGCCCGGUAGCUAAAUGCGGAAGAGAUAAGUGCUGAAAGCAUCUAAGCACGAAACUUGCCCCGAGAUGAGUUCUCCCUGAGACU
rnacentral:rRNA from 1 species